rnacentral:rRNA from 1 species
AUUGAACGCUGGCGGCAUGCCUUACACAUGCAAGUCGAACGGCAGCGGGCCUUCGGGUGCCGGCGAGUGGCGAACGGGUGAGUAGUGCAUCGGAACGUGCCAUUGAGUGGGGGAUAACGUAGCGAAAGUUACGCUAAUACCGCAUAUUCUGUGAGCAGGAAAGCAGGGGACCGCAAGGCCUUGCGCUCUUUGAGCGGCCGAUGUCAGAUUAGCUAGUUGGUGGGGUAAAGGCUUACCAAGGCGACGAUCUGUAGCGGGUCUGAGAGGAUGAUCCGCCACACUGGAACUGAGACACGGUCCAGACUCCUACGGGAGGCAGCAGUGGGGAAUUUUGGACAAUGGGCGCAAGCCUGAUCCAGCCAUGCCGCGUGAGUGAAGAAGGCCU